CAAUUGUUGUGUUUUCAUUUAAAGUGUGUAAAUCUGAAUUGAUCAUUGCUUGAAGAGAUGAAAAACCCCACAGUGGUAUCAGAGCCUGUUUGUUCUUUGGCUUCAUAAACUGAAUAUUCUUCAGGGUUCUUGAUUGAGAUCUUUAAAAGGACGUGUUGAACAGACAUGCUGGCCAAAAGUUCGACUCAACAUGUCUUCUUCAAAGUUUGAAAUUGAAAAGUUCGAUGGGAAUGGUGAUUUCAGUUUAUGGCAGGUUAAGAUGAAGGCACACUUGGAAAAUCUUGGAUUGGAUGAAGCUCUCAAAGAUGAAUUCGAGAUGCCUGAAGAACUCACAGGUGCAAAGAAGGCAGAGGUGUUAAAGAAAGCCAAGAACAUUAUUGUUCUAAGCUUAAAUGAUCAAAUACUUAGAAAAGUGAUUAAAGAAAAGACGACGACUGAGAUGUGAAGCAAAUUGGAAGAGCUUUACAAGACCAAGGCCCUACCAAACAGAAUUUACUUGAAACAGAGGUUUUACAAAUUUAGAAUGGAUGAUAUGAAAUCCAUUGAUGAGAAUGUUGAUGAAUUCACCUAGCUGGCUACAGAUCUUAAAAAUCUUGACAUCAAGAUAGAAGAGGAAGAUCAAGGCAUCUUAAUGUUGAACUCUUUACCAAAGCCCUAUGAACAACUAAGAGACACUCUCAUGUAUGGGAGAAGAGUCUAACUUUAGAAGAGGUCAUAAGUGCAGCUUACUCUAAAAAAUUAGAUUUGAGAACAAAUGAGCAACCAAAGCCUUAUGUAGAUGCUUUGAAUGUGCAAGACAAGAAUGAUCAGAAAAAUAAUCAGAGCAAGAAAAGAGGCAAGUUCAUAUCCAAAACUAGUGAUAAGAGGCUUUUUUGGGUUUGCAACAAAGAAGGACAUUUCAGGAUUGAAAGUCCUCAGAGAAAUAACAAAG
rnacentral:lncRNA from 1 species